CGUGUAGGCGGGUGCUUAAGUCAGUGGUGAAAUACCGAGGCUCAACUUCGGGGCUGCCAUUGAAACUGGGCAUCUUGAGUGCGGGAGAGGAAAGCGGAAUUCCUAGUGUAGCGGUGAAAUGCGUAGAUAUUAGGAGGAACACCAGUGGCGAAGGCGGCUUUCUGGACCGUAACUGACGCUGAGGCGCGAAAGCGUGGGGAGCAAACA
rnacentral:rRNA from 1 species